UCUGUAACCGUGAAUUGAAAGUACGCCAUAAAUAUGGCGCCAAAAUAGUUUUCAAGCAGAUGAUAAGAUCGGAUUUUUUCCUGCCUUCCUCUCUGUGUUGUCGAUCUUUUGAUUAUUUUUAAAAAUCUUUUCUCUGCUGUUUUCAGCUCCAGACUCGCCUGUGCAUAUAUUUUUUGCAGCGCGGUGUUGCAGGCAUUCACCGGCCGGAGGAGCGACUGGAGACGAGCUCAGAUCUGGGUUUUAUUUCUCAACCAGCACCGUUGCCUUACUGGCGUGCGUUGUUUUUUCUGACUCAUCCUGUGGAAAUAUAUCCCCGUUUUUUAUUUUUUUUGGUUCAGCCACCCUCCUUCCUCUGUUUCCCCAGCCUCCUUCUCCUCCUCCCGCUGGCUCCGAAGGAGGAAAACAGCCGGAUAGGGACUCCUCCACGUUUCGGCUGCUAUUUUUAUUUAGAUUUUUUAUUUUUUUAAAUUUUAUUUUAUUUUUAUUUUUUUUGCAAAAUGCGACAUGCUUUCCAUGUUGCGCGCAUCUCGGAGCCUGGCACGCCGGCGGUAGCGCUGCGUUUGGUUUCCUACUGACUGCUCGCCACUUUUCUCUCCGGGUUUGUGUUCAGGAGUGGGAUUUUACACAUUUUGGAUUCGGACUCCUGUCUUUGACGCGCUGUCAACACGCAGUGCAAAGGGGAGGGGAGGCCGGGAGAAGAGGGACAGUCCUGUCACCCUGCGUGGUUUAAGUGUCCGGUGUGUGUGUGUGUGUGUGUGUGUGUGUGUGUAUGGGGGGAUGUUUAGCAGCACCAACCCUCUGCUGGUAAACUACAUGUGCCUGCUCCAGAUGAUCUCCUAAAUCUGAUCUAAUCCAGGACUGAGGACGUCUGUGAAUCCAAAGCUGACUCCUACCAAGAUGGAGAGCGAGAAGAAGAGGAGGAAAUACUCCACAAGCAGCAACGACUCCGACACCACUGACAGUCAGGUGACGUCGUGGUCCAGGUCCUCUAAGAACACCGGCACCAGCAGCACCUGGGUCCGCCUCCCGCACAAGAAACCAUCUGAGGUAGGACAGCUGCUGCUUUGGGUUUCACUUCACUGGAGCUCCACUUUGACCAGUUCUGAUCAUUUAAAAACAAUUAUUGAUGAUUGAUUAUUCAGAUUUCAAGUCAGGUUUAUGUGUGCAGCAGGUUCCAGGCAGUUUAAAGUGAUUUUAGUCUCGAUAUAAAGGAAGUCAGCAGCUGCAUUUCUAUUGACCAAGUAAUUCGAUCUUUUGAAAAUAAUUUUGCUUAAUGGGAAACUUGGGAAUUUCAAAGAAACGUGUUUUUUAAUAACACGAGUCACAUGAUCAGAAACAGGAUGUUGCUACUGGUGGAAACCAAGAAGAAGACAGGAAGCAGUUGGAGGAGCAUGACGCUUCAUGUCAAACUUAUUCAACUUAUUGUGAUUUUAAUCACAUUUUUUAUUUCAUGGAAACACUGUAAUUGUGAAAUCGUGCUUUUG